CGGAUGCUUAUCGGAUAGAUAAUGUCAGAGUAUGUGCAAAGAUAUCUCGAAGGCAUGUUGAGUUAGGCAACGCGGUGAAAAUACGCCUUAGAUUCGCAACGCAAAUUUUCAGUAGUUUCCAGUUUUAUUUGGCAUAACACAUGAAGGAAUUUGGAGGUUGCUGAGAAACAAUUAGUUUUCGUUUAAAGAUAAACAACUUGUCCGAUGCAUUAAAUUGGAUGUGACUGAAUAAGGGUUUGAUCGCCAGAAUCAGAGGAUUAUAACAUUGAUUUUGGAAGAAAUUCUUCAAUGGCUGAAUGAAUGAGAGAAAGAAGCAAUAGAUGGCAUUAUUUCAGAUAAUUGGAGGGAUGUAUCGUAUAUAGAUCGAUCUCUAUUUUAUCCUAUACUGAACCGAUAAUGUCGCAUGUGACACUAAAAUGCUAUAGGGGGCUACGUAGUUCUCGUGUCAUGGAACAUUUUUUUGUAAUUUAUGCAAGUCUAUCUUAUUCUUAGUCAAUAUCAAUGCUAUUAAUAAUAAUUUUGACACAUCACAUGAUGGUCAUAAUUCAUCAUCUAAGCAUAAAACAAAAACAUCUAUAUCCAUCAUCGGUAUAUUAUCGAUAACCGAUAAUACCAUUUUUUUUUAUCAUCGGAGCAGUGAUAGCUGAAAACAUUGACUUAGGACGGAGUAAACGUGACGUUAAAUGAGACCACAGACGGUUUUAGGUUAAGGUUGUAUACAUAUGCAGUUGAAGAAGGACUAGAAUUCAUGUAUAGUAUUAUUCCUAUAAUAUAGUUUAUAGAUUUGUUAAUUUAUAAAUUGUUAUUGAUCGUAUCGUAAAUUAUCGCGAUACUUGUUAAUCUUUAUUAGCAAAUAUUUUCUAAAAACAUGUGGUUUUUAGUAUAAAAUAAAACGUUCGCAGAUUUGGAAUCAUUGUCUUAAAUUAUUAUAUAAUUCUGAAUCAUCAAUUUUCGAUACCUUUUUAUCACGCGGGAAAGAGUUAACCAAAAUAUUAACGUCGAAUGAAACUUAGAAACUUGUGUCUUCCUUAAUAUUACUAAACACGUAUUAACACAUAUGUGUCAUAUGUAACAAAUCAUUUAUAUUUACACAUCUUUAAUAACUUUGCAUAUGAUUUUAGUCGAUUGUUGUAUGUAUUCUCUUCUGUCAUUCAGGAAGCUUCCAUCGACGUUCUUCAAGCGUCGAAAAAUGAAUUCUCUUACUAGGAGAAUAGGAUGAUACAAGAGAUCAUCUAGUACCGCCAUUUUGUUUCUACUUUUCUGGUACUGCGCGUCUAUCUCACUUACCAGGAGAACAUAAUCGUUCAGAGAAAUUAAACUACAACUUCUUGCUUUUCGUGUUCUCCUAUUAUCCUCCUCUUGCGAUUUUCUUAUUAGGGGAACAAUUGAAUAAAGGAGUAGUCAUGAAGUUGCCUGCGUUUCAUAUUCUCCUGUUAUGCUUGUUAGAAAAGAGACUUCAAAGGUGCUCAACACUCUCGAAAAUAAUAUAAGAAUAUAAGAUACGACUAUAAGAUAAGAAAUUAAUUAAAAAGAUGUUUUGAAAAAAUAUAUUUAAUCGCACAGCUUCUUAAUUUAUCUUUUUGAUAAUUGGUAGUGCGAAAGCUUUCCAUCUGAUUUUUUUUCAAUGAUGAAGAAAUAGAAAAGUGGAGAAGGUUAUUGUAUAAAUAAAUUUGUGAACGAUUGUAAUUCCAUUCUUUAUCAAAGAUGUCGUUUUCAAAAGUAAAGAUGUGCUGAAUUCGAUCAAAUUAAAUAAUUCGCAGAGUGCAAAGAGUUAAUAUGGCUUUAAUUAAUUUUUUCUGGUAUCUGUAAUGAAAAUCGAGUAACGACAAAAGUGACACAAUUGUAUCGUAAAUAUUUCUCAAUAUAUUUAUUUCUCGAUUUGUUUGUAAUGGGACUACACGGUAACAAUAACAUACAGAUUAAUCUUAAAGCUUUAAAUCUUCGAAGCAUCUUAUCGCUCUACAUAUUCAGACACCUAAUCAAAUAGCGGAUAUUGUCAACAAUCACAGAGACUUUUAUUUGACUUUUGUCAUGCGCGUUUCCUAUUAUUUAAGGAGAACGCGCAAGACGAUUUCUCAUAAAAAUUAAUACGCUCCUGGGAGGAGGAAACAAAUGGAAACGCGUUGCGAGCUUAAAAUUUAAUUACAAAAUGAGCGGCCAACGAAUAAUAAAUACGACGUUCGAAGUUGCGAAAUUAAAAAGAGAACGGAAGACUAUAAUAUCGUCGAUCGAUCGAUCAAGGACGAGUCAUAUUCCAAACUCGAUUUAUUUUUACUUUAUUCUCUUCUUCUCGUCUAAAGAAUUAAUACGACAAAAAUUUAUCAAUCGAUUCUUAGGAGAUAAAUAGAAGUAUAUCCCGAGAAAAAGAGAGCAAGAAAAGGAUAAAACGAACCAGUCAGUCGUUCAGUAACUGUUAACUUGCUUAACUCAUUAUCGACUAAUGUUACGUUAACGCAACACGACUCUUAGAACUCUCUUGGUUAAUUUAUAUGAUCGAAUUCUUUUAACACUGCAACUAUGAAAAGAAAAUCUAAAGGUUUGAUCCAUUUUUUCUUUUCGCAUUUAGAGUCUACGAUUUUAUAAAGAUUGAAGAAAUUGAUUAAUGAUAAAUUAUUUUGUUUUGGUUAACCUAUCGAAAAGGUACGUUCUAAACAAUUUUUGCUGGUACGUAUAAUGGGUACUUUAUUCUAAUUUUCAAGUUAUACACAAAGGUAUAUUUCGUACCAUAUAUAUCUUGUGAAGCUGUCGAAUCUGUUAUCUCCCCGUGAAUUUUAACGUCGCAUUUUUUAUCUCCAUAGUAACGUAUAGACAAUGGGAAAAAAUAGUGAAAACUCCAGUCUCUGAAUUCCAAAUAAGUAGCGUUAGGUUAUUUAAGUGACGGCGGUGAUAUACAUUAGCGAUUAAAACUCAGUGACGUUGGAAAGAAGAGAAAAUUCCAAGUUACGAAUAAGUACGAUGUGCAUUCCAUUAGAAAUUUUGUCAAAUUCUAUUUGUUACAAGCGUGCUCGGUUACCAUGAGAGGCACUUACCGAUAACGAUGCAACUACAUUGACAAAGUUUUAAUUUGGACACGCACACCCAUCUGCACGCAAUAAUCGAAAAGUGCUUGUACACGACAUUAUAAGUGGUAAAAUUAAGUGGCAAAAGAAAAUUUCAAUUUUUAUUGGAAAAUAUUCCAAUCAAAAUGUACCAACUGAGAAUACUACAGUAUAGUAGCUAAGUGCAAUUAUCCUUUCUAAGUAGUUAACAAUAACGUUAGACAAUGGUGUUACAACGUUGCCUGUAUAGAAAGAAAUAUAAGCGCCAAUAGACGUUAGUUAAGUGAUUUAUGGCUUUUGUCUAUGCCAUCUACUUAAACGAAUGGAACAUUGAGUUUUAUCUACAACUAAGAGGUGGCACGUACGUGCUUUUCUACAGACACACUUAUUCUGUUUCAUGAAUUUGGGGACUACAUUUGUGCGUAAGUUCACUUUCAAUGUUUUAACAAGCACUCUUCAAUUACAAUAUCUAAUAUACAAUCCUAACAUACUUUGUAAUUUUAAUGUACAAUUUUGUAUAAGAUAUAGAAAUAAAGUACAUAUAUGAUAUCAAUGGAGCUUUUGUGUAUAACUCGAAAACUGGAAUACAACACUUGUUAUAUGUAUAGGGAAAAGUUGUUCAGAACGAUCACCUUGAUAACAUAUUUCAAGCUCGCCGAAAUUAGUGAGGUGGUAGAUUUUCGAUAGCUUCACAUUUUUCUUUAAUCAUGGAAAUUUUCUCCAUGUCUCUAACUCGAAUAGUGACUUUGUAAAGUAUCUGAUAUUUUAACAGUUUUUUCUAUCUUGGCAAAGUAACGCGUAAAUAAUACACUUUUUUUCAGUAAUGUAGCAUUUACGUAACCUUUAUGCGUUAUUUUACCGUUUCGGCGUUAAUGAAUUAAUAAAACAUCCACUCGUAUAUACGAAAGUACGUACGUUGUAUAGUUUUCGUUUCAAUAAAAAAGUUAGUCGUUGCUGAUGCAGCAAAAUUAGUUAAACGAGAUCGUAAUAAAACCUUCCACGCAUCUUACAUAUUUCUUCGGCAACAAGCUUCCGAUUUCUAUAUUCCUAUUUCUCUAUACAAAUAAAAGCGCGUAUUCACGAAUGACCUA